CAGUCGCCGCGGUAAAACGAAGGGGGCUAGCGUUGCUCGGAUUUACUGGGCGUAAAGGGCGUGUAGGCGGCCUGGGGCGUCCCAUGUGAAAGGCCACGGCUCAACCGUGGAGGAGCGUGGGAUACGCUCAGGCUAGAGGGUGGGAGAGGGUGGUGGAAUUCCCGGAGUAGCGGUGAAAUGCGCAGAUACCGGGAGGAACGCCGAUGGCGAAGGCAGCCACCUGGUCCACUUCUGACGCUGAGGCGCGAAAGCGUGGGGAGCAAACCGGAUUAGAUACCCCAGUAGUCCCUGUCUCUUAUAC
rnacentral:rRNA from 1 species